GCUGGCUGGCUGGCUGGCUGGCUGGCAAGUGUUGCUGCUGCUGUCACAGCCUGCGUCAACGCUUACUGCGGCAGUGGCAGCAGCCGCAUCCACAACAGCUUGAAAAGCUGCAGGAUGCACUGCCCACAAAGUGUAUCCUGAUUGCUGCUGUCGCUGUCGCUGCCGCUGCCGCAGUCACUGCAGCAGUUGCCGCUGACUGCGCUGCCACUGCCACUGCCGCUGCCAGCAGCAGUC
rnacentral:sRNA from 1 species